rnacentral:rRNA from 1 species
AACGAACGCUGGCGGCAUGCCUAACACAUGCAAGUCGAACGAGACCUUCGGGUCUAGUGGCGCAGGGGUGCGUAACGCGUGGGAACCUGCCCUUAGGUUCGGAAUAACUCCCCGAAAGGGGUGCUAAUACCGGAUAAUGUCUUAGGACCAAAGAUCUAUCGCCUUUGGAUGGGCCCGCGUUGGAUUAGCGAGUUGGUAGGGUAAAAGCCUACCAAGGGGACGAUGCAUAGCUGGUCUGAGAGGAUGAUCAGCCACACUGGGACUGAGACACGGCCCAGACUCCUACGGGAGGGAGCAGUGGGGAAUAUUGGACGAGGAGCGAAAGCCUGAUCCAGCAAUGCCGCGUGAGUGAUGAAGGCCUUAGGGUUGUAAAGCUCUUUUACCCGGGAUGAUAAUGACAGUACCGGGAGAAUAAGCACCGGCUAACUCCGUG